rnacentral:rRNA from 1 species
GAAGCCGGAAUUGCUGUAAUGGCAGGUCAGCAUACUGCCGUGAAUACGUUCCCGGGCCUUGUACACACCGCCCGUCACACCAUGAGAGUUGGGAAUACCCGAAGCCUGUGAGCCAACCGUAAGGAGGCAGCAGUCGAAGGUAGAAUCAAUGAUUGGGGUGAAGUCGUAACAAGGUAAC